rnacentral:misc_RNA from 1 species
UCACCCUCACCACCUCCGCCCAUCCAAUACCAUCCUCCGCCGUCUCCUUCACCCCCACCCCCACCUGCACCGACCCCAGUUUACCAUUCACCUCCUCCGCCGGUUUAUCACUCUCCACCACCACCACCAUCACCGUCGCCUCCUCCGCCACCUGCAUCCCCACCACCAUCACCUGUAUACGAAGGCCCAUUGCCACCAAUCUAUGGAGUUUCGUACGCCUCUCCUCCACCUCCACCCUUCUAUUGAUUCUUUUGAGAAAUUUUCCUCCUCUAACCUUACCUCAACUCAACCCACAAAAGAAGGAGAAAUUUACACCAUGCCCUCUUUUAUCUUCUUCAAUGUACUAAAAAUUUCCCAAUCUCUCCAUUAUUUUUUCUCCUUGGGCAAUGCUCAUCGCUCUUUGAGGAAGAAUAAUCAAAGACUUUUAAGGAUUAUAUUUAUUUCUGCAAGUUAAAAGCAGCCUUGUCCAUCAUGUUCUUCUCUCUAACCUUACCUCAACUCAACUG